rnacentral:rRNA from 1 species
ACGCUCGACACCUACGGGCAGCAGUGGGGAAUAUUGCACAAUGGGGGAAACCCUGAUGCAGCGACGCCGCGUGAGCGAAGAAGUAUUUCGGUAUGUAAAGCUCUAUCAGCAGGGAAGAAAAUGACGGUACCUGACUAAGAAGCCCCGGCUAACUACGUGCCAGCAGCCGCGGUAAUCUGAGCGGGCUGGCAAGGC